AACGAACGCUGGCGGCAGGCCUAACACAUGCAAGUCGAACGCCGUAGCAAUACGGAGUGGCAGACGGGUGAGUAACACGUGGGAACAUACCCUUCGGUUCGGGAUAACUCAGGGAAACUUGAGCUAAUACCGGAUACGUCCGCGAGGAGAAAGAUUCAUCGCCGGAGGAUUGGCCCGCGUCUGAUUAGCUUGUUGGUGAGGUAAUGGCUCACCAAGGCGACGAUCAGUAGCUGGUCUGAGAGGAUGAUCAGCCACAUUGGGACUGAGACACGGCCCAAACUCCUACGGGAGGCAGCAGUGGGGAAUAUUGGACAAUGGGCGCAAGCCUGAUCCAGCCAUGCCGCGUGAGUGAUGAAGGCCCUAGGGUUGUAAAGCUCUUUUACCCGGGAAGAUAAUGACUGUACCGGGAGAAUAACGCCCCGGCUAACUUCGUGCCAGCCGCCGCCGUAAG
rnacentral:rRNA from 1 species